rnacentral:rRNA from 3 species
ACCUUCGGGCCUCUUGCCAUCGGAUGUGCCCAGAUGGGAUUAGCUAGUAGGUGGGGUAACGGCUCACCUAGGCGACGAUCCCUAGCUGGUCUGAGAGGAUGACCAGCCACACUGGAACUGAGACACGGUCCAGACUCCUACGGGAGGCAGCAGUGGGGAAUAUUGCACAAUGGGCGCAAGCCUGAUGCAGCCAUGCCGCGUGUAUGAAGAAGGCCUUCGGGUUGUAAAGUACUUUCAGCGGGGAGGAAGGGAGUAAAGUUAAUACCUUUGCUCAUUGACGUUACCCGCAGAAGAAGCACCGGCUAACUCCG